UACGGAGGGUGCGAGCGUUAUUCGGAAUUAUUGGGCGUAAAGCGCGUGUAGGCGGGGAUACCAGUCUGAUGUGAAAGCCCCGGGCUUAACCCGGGAAGUGCAUUGGAAACUGUAUUUCUUGAGUACUGGAGAGGAAGGGGGAAUUCCCGGUGUAGAGGUGAAAUUCGUAGAGAUCGGGAGGAAUACCAGUGGCGUAGGCGCCUUUCUGGACGGUUACUGACGCUGAGACGCGAAAGCGUGGGGAGCAAACAGG
rnacentral:rRNA from 1 species